AGCGAGCGAGCGACAGGCUGCGGCCGGGGAACGAGCCCAACUUCGGCUCUCAACUUUGUUUUCGCUGCAGUAAACGCUGACAGAAGCGUCGGGGACAUCUGUGGUGUGACAGCAAACUUCCUUCUCUGCCGGGGACUGAACUGAGCCCUGUGGGAUCACCACUUCAGUAUUCCAGAAGGAAGCAAUGGAAGACUUGUUACCUGUGAACAGACUUGUCCUAUGAACUAUUACAGCACGUACGUAAGAUUUCAGAAGUAACUGGUUUUUGAAGUGAAAACUCAGGUUAAUCCCAAGAACAGAAGACCUUGUCGGAAUAUGCUGGAGAAACAUCACUGUUGAAGUUGCUGUUUGCUCUAGUGGAUAAUCUAUUCCUGAAUAGAUCUUCAGUGCCAAAGGAAUAUAAAGUGACAAAUACCAUUUCAGUCUGUGAAACAAUCUCUCUGUUUCCUGAGCACUACAAAACAGAUCUUUCUCAGAGGUAAACUGAAUUUCUCUGAGCUAAAUACAGUAAUAGGAGAAUUAGGAAAUACAUAUAAUGGUUUAUAGAAGACUAAAUGUGGGAUUUUUUUGUAUUACAAAAUAAUGCCUCACGCUCUGCUAGAAUUUUGAGGGCCUGGUGCACACGUGGCUAGCAUAGUUCAUGUGCUAUUGCAGGUCACCUAGAAGAAAGCUAAUUAUGAUCUUUAGCAAAAACCCAAAGUUAUACAUAUUUGUUAAAAUUAGAACUUGACUGUAAAGACUUAAAGAUUUGUCUACUGCUAAGAUAACAAAAUGGGAACUGCAGAUGCUGCUAUGUAUGUGGGAAAAAUAAAAAUAUAAAAAAGCAUGUGCAGCAACAGUUUUUAAUUGGAAAAACAUUUCUGACAGUCUACUGAAAAGCAUUUGGUCAGUCCCCUGUAACAUUCAAAAAGCAUGUAGGAGUAUUAGGAAUAAUGCAGCUAUAAUGUGUAGGGCUGUGACUGAAAAAGACUACAUAGGAUCUAAAAGACGUACGGGAAAAGAUUUUCAAAGUAAUCAGUUCUGUGAUUGGGUUACAGUGCACAAUGAGGUUAAAUACACUAGGAAUUUUCAAUAAUAAGACACAGUGAUUAAGGGCCAAAUAUUAUGGAAGUAUAGAAAAUCAUAAGCAUUUUAAUUGCCAUGGGAUAGCACGGUGAUGAAAAUGGGUUUAUCGUUUUUCUGGAGGAUAAGUCUGCAAGGAUCUGUUAAACAUAAUUAUCCAAAUGUGACCUCUGGCUCUGGAGGGCUAUCAGAUAUGCUUUUCCCUCUUCCAUGUGUCUGCUGAUCUGAUUCCUUCAAAGGCUUUUUUUUACUGCCUAAAAUAAUCAACUUUCAUUUGCCUGCCACUGAGGUAUUAUGAAAGCUUGAAGCAAUGUUUAAUUUUGCCUUGGAAAAGAAACUAUAUCUACAAGAACUUGAAACAUGUAUUAUGCUGAAGAAAAUACAUUCUCAUGUUUUAUGCUUGCUUAUUUAAUGGUUUUCCUGCAUUUGAAGCACAAAAGUAAAAUGUGAUCUCUUUAUUUGUAUGAAAUAAUUCAUGGAGCUCAGAACAUGAGUAGAAAGAUAUUAUGCUCCAAAGAUAUUGCUUUGUGAUUGAUUCAGGUGAUUUGCGAGUAUGUAGGGCUAUGACACGUUAUUGUAAUCAAAGAAAUGUUUGUAUAGCACCAGCAAUGCAUGCAUUGCAAGGCCAGAAAACAUUGUGCUAACUGCCUGCUUUAAUCAGAGGACAGAGGUAGUAAAGCUUAACUGAAUUCUCUCUUGUCAAGCUAUUCUUGUACUGUAUCUCUUAAUUAUUUUAAAAGAGUUUACGUAUUUUCCAACUACCAAGCAAUAGAAACAAAUAUUUAAUAACUCUCCUAACAUUGCCUUUGUAGUGUCAGCUUUGUUUCAGAAAUAUGCUGUCAUAUUUCCUACAGAAUUUCCUUUCUGUGCCCUUUAUUGCUUCUCACUUACCUUAAUAACAUCCUUUAAUCUUUGCCCUUGGGACUAAAUAAUGGAUGUUCAACACCAUCUUUACUUUUGAAUGAUGCUUGAAAUGCAGAGCAGCAUAGUUUAUUUAUCCUUCAAAUCUAAGGAUACUUAGAAUUCCCAAUGCUUAAGCUCUGAAGACUAAGUAUAGGGCAACAAAUAAUGUUUUUCUGCAUAGCAGCCUUCAUGGCUGCCAGUUAGAUAGUUAUUCAGAUAUGUGUUUUUUGAUUAGUUGAUCAGCUGAUUUUUUUUCUUUCCAGUUUUCUGCUGUUCUGCCAGCUCUGCUGUUUGUCAGGCUUUGCAGGAGAAAGCCAGCUGUCCUGUUAAAUUACCAGUCUUUUCAAGAGGAAGUCAACUUCAGCGUUCUUUUAACUGAUAGAUAAACCUACACUGCCAGAAAUAAAAAAAAUAAAGAAAGAAAGAAAAAAACUUGUACAACUGUACUCAAUAUCUAGCUUCAUGACUACAAAUGCUCUCAUAGUUGUGUGAGGAUGAGAAAUAUCUAAAAUUUGUCUAUAUCGUCAUAAAUAUUGUAAGCACAUUGCUUCUGUGUUUCUUUUUUUCACUGUUAGGGGCAGUGAGCACCUGAAGAAGUGGUUUCUUACUCUUACUGAAUUAUAUAGAAUCACAGAAUGGCUUAGAUUGGAGGGGAUCUUAAAAGUCAUCUAGUUCCAACCCUCCUGCCGUGGGUUGCCUAUCACUAGACCAGGCUGCCCAGGAUCCCAUCCAACCUGGCCUUGAAUGCUUCCAGAGAUGGGCCAUCCACAACCUAACAUCUAACCUCAAUCUCUCCUCUCUUAGUUUAUAGCCAUUGCCCCUUUCCUGCCACUACUAGACUGUGUAAAAAGUCCUCAAGUAUAAAAAGCUCCCCGCAGAUACUGUGGAAGACCACCAUGAGGUCUCCCCAGAGCCUUCUCUUCUCCAAUCUAAACAAACACAGUUCCCUCAACCUUUUCUCAUAGGAGAGGUGCUCCAGCCCCUUGAUGAUCUUAAUGGCCCCCCUCUGGAUCCACUUCAACAGCUCUGCAUCCCUCCUGUACUGAGGGCCUCAGGCCUGGAUGCAGUACUCCAGAUGGGGCCUUACAAGGGCAGAGUAGAAGCCACCCAUCCCAUUCCACUGCUUAUACUUUUCCUCUUUUCUGUCAGCUUGGUUGGCAGGUCCUUGCUCAGCCAUGCUGCUUUACUUCCUCAUCUGCCUGAUUUCUUAUUCUGGGGGAUGGAAUCCUCUUGUGCUUGAUGCUUCUUUCAAGAAAAACAUCUUUGUGAUACCCUCUCUUGCUCUUUGGUUGCUAUGGUUUUGCUGCUUAAGAACUAAAAAAGUAAAGGAACACUGAUUGUAGC
rnacentral:lncRNA from 1 species